CCGUUCAACUCGUCCCUCCUGUGAGAGGGACUACGGGAG
rfam:Mesorhizobium amorphae CCNWGS0123 contig00092, whole genome shotgun sequence.